AAAUUGAAGAGUUUGAUCAUGGCUCAGAUUGAACGCUGGCGGCAGGCCUAACACAUGCAAGUCGAACGGUAACAGGAAUCAGCUUGCUGAUUUGCUGACGAGUGGCGGACGGGUGAGUAAUGUCUGGGAAACUGCCUGAUGGAGGGGGAUAACUACUGGAAACGGUAG
rnacentral:rRNA from 1 species